UUGCCUAUACAUGCAAGUCGAACGCGUUGGCCCAAUUGAUUGAUGGUGCUUGCACCUGAUUGAUUUUGGUCGCCAACGAGUGGCGGACGGGUGACUAACACGUAGGUAACCUGCCCAGAAGCGGGGGACAACAUUUGGAAACAGAUGCUAAUACCGCAUAACAACGUUGUUCGCAUGAACAACGCUUAAAAGAUGGCUUCUCGCUAUCACUUCUGGAUGGACCUGCGGCGCAUUAUCUUGUUGGUGGGGUA
rnacentral:rRNA from 1 species